GAUGAACGCUGGCGGCGUGCCUAAUACAUGCCAGUCGAGCGAACAGACGAGGAGCUUGCUCCUCUGACGUUAGCGGCGGACGGGUGAGUAACACGUGGAUAACCUACCUAUAAGACUGGGAUAACUUCGGGAAACCGGAGCUAAUACCGGAUAAUAUAUUGAGCCGCAUGGUUCAAUAGUGAAAGACGGUUUUGCUGUCACUUAUAGAUGGAUCCGCGCCGCAUUAGCUAGUUGGUAAGGUAACGGCUUACCAAGGCAACGAUGCGUAGCCGACCUGAGAGGGUGAUUGGCCACACUGGAACUGAGACACGGUCCAGACUCCUACGGGAGGCAGCAGUAGGGAAUCUUCCGCAAUGGGCGAAAGCCUGACGGAGCAACGCCGCGUGAGUGAUGAAGGUCUUCGGAUCGUAAAACUCUGUUAUUAGGGAAGAACAAAUGUGUAAGUAACUAUGCACGUCUUGACGGUACCUAAUCAGAAAGCCACGGCUAACUACGUG
rnacentral:rRNA from 1 species